UACGAAGGGGGCUAGCGUUGCUCGGAAUUACUGGGCGUAAAGGGCGCGUAGGCGGAUAGUUUAGUCAGAGGUGAAAGCCCAGGGCUCAACCUUGGAAUUGCCCUUUGAUACUGGAGAGCUGAGUCCGGGAGAGGUGAGUGGAACUGCGAGUGUAGAGGUGAAAUUCGUAGAUAUUCGCAAGAACACCAGUGGCGAAGGCGGCUCACCUGGCC
rnacentral:rRNA from 1 species